UACGAAGGGGGCGAGCGUUGUUCGGAAUCACUGGGCGUAAAGCGCCCGUAGGCGGCGCGUUAAGUCAGGGGUGAAAUCCUGGAGCUCAACUCCAGAACUGCCCUGGAUACUGGCGUGCUCGAGUGUGGGAGAGGUUGGUGGAACUCCGAGUGUCGAGGUGAAAUUCGUAGAUAUUUGGAAGAACACCAGGGGCGAAGGCGGCCAACUGGCCCAUUACUGACGAUGAGGUGCGAAAGCGUGCCGAGCAAACAGG
rnacentral:rRNA from 1 species